CCUACGGGUGGCAGCAGUGAGGAAUAUUGGUCAAUGGGCGUAAGCCUGAACCAGCCAAGUAGCGUGCAGGAUGACGGCCCUACGGGUUGUAAACUGCUUUUAUACGGGAAUAAAGUGCGUCACGUGUGGUGCUUUGCAUGUACCGUAUGAAUAAGGACCGGCUAAUUCCGUGCCAGCAGCCGCGGUAAUACGGAAGGUCCGGGCGUUAUCCGGAUUUAUUGGGUUUAAAGGGAGCGUAGGCCGCAUGUUAAGCGUGCUGUGAAAUGCCGGGGCUCAACCCUGGCAUUGCAGCGCGAACUGGCUGGCUUGAGUGCGCGGAAGGCAGGCGGAAUUCGUGGUGUAGCGGUGAAAUGCUUAGAUAUCACGAAGAACCCCGAUUGCGAAGGCAGCUUGCUGCAGCGCCACUGACGCUGAUGCUCGAAAGCGCGGGUAUCGAACAGGAUUAGAUACCCCGGUAGUC
rnacentral:rRNA from 1 species